CUGCAGGUUCAGGAAAUGAUGCA
rnacentral:siRNA from 1 species